GGGGAUGACGUCAAAUCAUCAUGCCCCUUAUGACCUGGGCUACACACGUGCUACAAUGGACGAUACAAACGGUUGCCAACUCGCGAGAGGGAGCUAAUCCGAUAAAGUCGUUCUCAGUUCGGAUUGUAGGCUGCAACUCGCCUACAUGAAGCCGGAAUCGCUAGUAAUCGCGGAUCAGCAUGCCGCGGUGAAUACGUUCCCGGGCCUUGUACACACCGCCCGUCACACCACGAGAGUUUGUAACACCCGAAGUCGGUGAGGUAACCUUUUGGAGCCAGCCGCCGAAGG
rnacentral:rRNA from 1 species